GACUCGAAUAAAUCAUUCCGAGGUGGACACAAGUCGUCAGACUGGUGAGGACCAAAGUGAUUCUCAGAGGACACUUGAGAAUUCUCCAAGUCCAGUGUGAAAUCAUUGUAGCGCAUUGUUACAACGCACUUUGAAAAAAAAAUAUAUUCAGAUUGCGUUGAUUUGGUCUCAGAAUUAAGGCAGUUUGAAAAAAAAAAUUGAAGUGCGUAAUUUUUUCGAAGUGCGUUACCACGGCGCAUAUAUCAUAAGAAAAAAAAAGAAUCGAUAUUGUCAUGCAGCAUUUGUACAGUAAUAUCAUGUGUAGGAAAUUCAUUAAGAGAUACUGAUUAUUAAUUGCACAACUUGUGAAUGAGUAGAGAAUGAGAAAAUAAAUUCGAUUCAAAAUAAGUACAAUGGAGACCUACUAGCAAUGUUACCAAACUUAGAAUGUUCUAUGAAUGCGUCACACUUUUUUAAAUACUAUGUUCUCGAUUGUGAAAAGGAUGAUGUGUAGUUAUAUCACAUAUACUUUAUGUCUGUGUGUAAAUCAAUUAUUUAACUGUUCUUCGUAAGUAGUGUUGUUAACUUCACAAAACGCAGAUAAAGAUAGUAUUUUG
rnacentral:misc_RNA from 1 species